UUUCCUGUUCCUCCUCUUGAUCUUAAUCAUCUUCAACAUUGUUCAUAUAAAACCCAGAAAAUUUCUUCAUCACAAUUAGCAACAACAUCAACCUUUUCAUAACCAUAAUCACCUAGAUCUCAAUUUCACCAACAACACACCAACAACAACCUCAACAUCAUAAUCUUCAUCAAUCACUUUCUUAUCUUCCAUAUUCAUCAAUAACAAUAAUAACUCAAAGUUGUAUUCUUGUAAGGUAGGAGAAAUUAGAAAUCAAAACUCAAAAAAAAUUCUUGUCACUCUCUCUACGUUAUCUUCUUCUUCUUCCAUCACUAAUUGAUAACCAUCAAAAGGGAAACCCAUUUCGCCAGAUUUUGCUCUUUCCUUGGCAUGGCACUGUAAUAAAUUGAAAGAAAGCAAUAUCAUCAUUCAAAUGAAACUACACCUCAGUUUCAGAUUCAAAUGAAGCAUUCCUAUCGAAAGGUUUCCUUCCCGUUAACAAUUCCAGAAGCAAUACGCCAAUACCCCAAAGGAAAAUACAUCUCUCCUUCAUAUCCUUCAACAUAAUCACCAUUUUAAUGUUUUUUUUUUCUGUUUGACCCUUUUAUGUUUGACCCUCUAAUAGAUCAUGUUCAUACUCAGAUUCAUUCACAACAACACCUCAAAUUCAGAUUCAGACUCCAAAGGAAGAAACGAAGCAAAAAGAGAAGGAAGGCGAGAGAUAGGGGUUUUGGCUACGGUGGUUUUUCUUUUCUUUUCUUUAUACAUGGUUUAAGUUUGUGUUUUGAUUAUUAAAAAUGAUGAAGGAUGACAAUAUUCAUGGAUGAAAUUAGAUGACGGUGGUGGUGUUGAUUUAAGUUAAAAUACAUGGGCUUUAGUUUUGGAAGUUUGAAGAAAUAAAAAAUAAAAGUUUAUUGAUUUAUUUAGGAUUUUUUUUGAGAUUAUGGUUGUGGUAGUAAUUUUUUUUUAGGAAUGAUUAUGUUGAUGAAGAUGAAGAAGAAGAUGGGAGAAGAUGAUAAAGAAAGGUGAGAAAAAUAUUAGGUGUUGGUGGUUUACAAUAAAAUACAAUAGACCCUACAUCAUCCAACAAAUCUCUUUUAAAGAAAAAUCUAUGCUGGACCACUUUUAAACAUGGUUCAUCUUAAAUAUUUGAUGUUAAAAAUUGACGGAAAGGACUAAAACAGUAAACGGCAGAAGACUUAUAGGACCAAAUUGACACACUUAAUAGUUAAAUGAUUAAACUGAGAAAAUAAAAUAAGUUAAGGGAUCGAGGGAUGUAUUAAUCCUAAAUUUUAUUAUCGUAUAAUCCCUACGAAAUAUUUCUGCUUUCAAUUUCCCGUAGUGGCGGGAGGAUGGAAUAUCCAAUUGACAGAGGCUACUUUUCUCCCUUUUGAAGUCAACAAUACUUCAAAUCCCUCAAUAGAGUGGGUGAAUUCUCUGUUAAAUCGGCGUACAAGUUCCUCAAAAAAAGACAUGAGAUUUUAAAUUCUAAUCUAUCAAUCAUAACACAGGAAAAUAUAAUUUGGUCUAAACCGAUGUGGCGUAAUGAGAUGCCUUGUUUAAGAGAAGUAAACUGUUUCCCUUUGUGCUGCUUAUGUGACCAACACAACGAGACAAUUGAUCAUUUAUUCAUGGAUUGUGAAUGAGUCAAAACAGUAUGGUUUGGUUCAACCAUGG
rnacentral:lncRNA from 1 species